rnacentral:rRNA from 1 species
AGUGAACGCUGGCGGCAGGCCUAAUACAUGCAAGUCGAACGGCAGCACAGCAGAGCUUGCUCUGUGGGUGGCGAGUGGCGGACGGGUGAGGAAUACGUGGGAAUCUGCCCAGUCGUGGGGGAUAACGUAGGGAAACUUACGCUAAUACCGCAUGCGCCCUUCGGGGAAAGCCGGGGACCUUCGGGCCUGGCGCGAUUGGAUGAGCCCACGUCGGAUUAGCUAGUUGGCGGGGUAAAGGCCCACCAAGGCGACGAUCCGUAGCUGGUCUGAGAGGAUGAUCAGCCACACUGGAACUGAGACACGGUCCAGACUCCUACGGAAGGCAGCAGUAGGGAAUAUUGGACAAUGGGCGCAAGCCUGAUCCAGCCAUGCCGCGUGAGUGAAGAAGGCCCUCGGGUUGUAAAGCUCUUUUGUCCGGAAAGAAAAGCGCCGGGUUAAUACCCUGGUGUCCUGACGGUACCGGAAGAAUAAGCACCGGCUAACUUCGUGCCAGCAGCCGCGGUAAAG